CAGCAGCUGACUGUGGCUGUGAUUGGCGCUGGUUGUGAGGGACAUAUUGGAGGAUAACAUUUGAUGUUGCUGCUGCUGCUGCUGUUGCAUCUGUUGGUGUUGCUGCUGCUGAUGUAGCUGCUGCUGCUGCUGCUGCUGCUGCUGUAGCUGCUGCUGCUGUUGUUGCUGCUG
rnacentral:sRNA from 1 species